rnacentral:rRNA from 1 species
CCGGGGGGGCGUCCUAUAAUGCAGUCGACGAACUCUGGUAUUGAUUGGUGCUUGCAUCAUGAUUUACAUUUGAGUGAGUGGCGAACUGGUGAGUAACACGUGGGAAACCUGCCCAGAAGCGGGGGAUAACACCUGGAAACAGAUGCUAAUACCGCAUAACAACUUGGACCGCAUGGUCCGAGUUUGAAAGAUGGCUUCGGCUAUCACUUUUGGAUGGUCCCGCGGCGUAUUAGCUAGAUGGUGGGGUAACGGCUCACCAUGGCAAUGAUACGUAGCCGACCUGAGAGGGUAAUCGGCCACAUUGGGACUGAGACACGGCCCAAACUCCUACGGGAGGCAGCAGUAGGGAAUCUUCCACAAUGGACGAAAGUCUGAUGGAGCAACGCCGCGUGAGUGAAGAAGGGUUUCGGCUCGUAAAACUCUGUUGUUAAAGAAGAACAUAUCUGAGAGUAACUGUUCAGGUAUUGACGGUAUUUAACCAGAAAGCCACGGCUAACUACGUGCCAGCAGCCGCGGUAAUACGUAGGUGGCAAGCGUUGUCCGGAUUUAUUGGGCGUAAAGCGAGCGCAGGCGGUUUUUUAAGUCUGAUGUGAAAGCCUUCGGCUCAACCGAAGAAGUGCAUCGGAAACUGGGAAACUUGAGUGCAGAAGAGGACAGUGGAACUCCAUGUGUAGCGGUGAAAUGCGUAGAUAUAUGGAAGAACACCAGUGGCGAAGGCGGCUGUCUGGUCUGUAACUGACGCUGAGGCUCGAAAGUAUGGGUAGCAAACAGGAUUAGAUACCCUGGUAGUCCAUACCGUAAACGAUGAAUGCUAAGUGUUGGAGGGUUUCCGCCCUUCAGUGCUGCAGCUAACGCAUUAAGCAUUCCGCCUGGGGAGUACGGCCGCAAGGCUGAAACUCAAAGGAAUUGACGGGGGCCCGCACAAGCGGUGGAGCAUGUGGUUUAAUUCGAAGCUACGCGAAGAACCUUACCAGGUCUUGACAUACUAUGCAAAUCUAAGAGAUUAGACGUUUCCCUUCGGGGACAUGGAUACAGGUGGUGCAUGAUUGUCGUCAGCUCGUGUCGUGAGAUGUUGGUUUAAGUCCCGCCAACGAGCGCAACCCUUUAUUAUUCAGCUGUUAGCAUUAAGAUGGGGCCACUCUGGCUGAGACCUGACCGGAUGACAAACCCGGCAGGAAAGGGUUGGGGGAAUUGAACGU